rnacentral:rRNA from 1 species
UACGGGGGGGGGCAAGCGUUGUUCGGAAUUACUGGGCGUAAAGGGCUCGUAGGCGGCCAACUAAGUCAGACGUGAAAUCCCUAGGCUCAACCUAGGAACUGCGUCUGAUACUGGAUGGCUUGAAUCCGGGAGAGGGAUGCAGAAUUCCAGGUGUAGCGGUGAAAAUGCGUAGAUAUCUGGAGGAAUACCGGUGGCGAAGGCGGCAUCCUGGACCGGCAUUGACGCUGAGGCGCGAAAGCCAGGGGAGCAAACGGG